UAUGCUGGAGUCCUAACCUCAGUAUGGAGAUGUUGCUGGACAAUGGCUGCCCCUUCAAGGACUAUUAUUUCCCAGCCUCUCCCCCUUGCAUCCAGGUAGACCCUGUUACCGAUGCAUGUCUACGUUACCUCUAGGAGACAGGUGGCUGACCCAUGCAUUGUACUGUAUGUCCACGGGCUUUCCAGGUUAAUUCUGCAUACGGGACAUAAUAAAAAGCACUAUUGCCAAUUCAUGCACUGAAACCUCCCAUGAACAUAACUUUGAAACAGAUUGAGGAUCUUCGAGAAAUGGUGUCUCUUGCCUGUCAUCCCAGCAGUUUAGGAGUCUGAGGUGGGAGGAUCACUUGAGACCAGAAGUUUGAGACCAGCCUGGGAAACAUAGUGAGACCCUGUCUCUACAAAAAGUAAAAUAAAUUAGCCAGUCAUCCUAGCUGCUAGAGAGGCUAAGGCAAGGGUACUGCUUGAGCCCAG
ensembl:lncRNA novel transcript